rnacentral:lncRNA from 1 species
CUUUUGUUUGCUCGGCUCCCCCUUGACUGGUGGUCUUCUCCUUGUUCCUUAUCUUUUUCUUCUCUUGAAGCGUCUAAACUUUCUGGUAAUCAGGACCAAGUCCUUAUCUUCUUUGCUAUUGUCUAAUUUUUCUGUGUCUUCUUCUUCCUGAGUUGUUGACUUGAGGGCUAUGGUCCUCUUUCUUCUGAUUUUCUCUUCAGUGUGUUACUUCAUGGUCAGUUCGUGAGUCAUGAGAGAUCCAAACAGCUCCUCCAAUAGUAGAGUAUUC